rnacentral:rRNA from 1 species
GUAGGGGGCAAGCGUUAUCCGGANUUAUUGGGCGUAAAGGGUGCGUAGGCGGGUUAUCAAGUCUUUGGUUAAAAUGCGGUGCUCAACGCCGUAAUGCCUNNGAAACUGAUAGUCUANAGUAUGGUAGAAGUGAGUGGAACUCCAUGUGUANCGGUNAAAUGCNUAAAUAUAUGGAANAACACCAGUGGCGAAGGCNGCUCACUAGGCCAAUACUGACGCUUAAACACCAAAGCNUGGGGAGCAAACAGGAUUAAAUACCCUGGUAGUCCACGCCGUAAACNAUGAUUACUANGUGUUGGUGGGUACNACCCAUCGGUGCCGCAGCAAACGCAAUAUAGUAAUCCACCUGGGGAGU